rnacentral:lncRNA from 1 species
CCCCCACCAAAGUGCUGGACUGGGUUCUUAAAGGGGCCACCUGAAGCAGGACUUUUUCCCACACUGAAGUCACCAACUGACAGCAGAAACAGGUCCCCCAUCUUUGGGAUAUCUCCCAGUUCUGCUCCCAGUAGAAUGUCUAAGAAAUCUUUGAUGACCAGUGCAAUCUGUGGAGGUUAUACACUUGGAGGAAGGGACAGCACACGCUGAUGGUUUGCAGUGGUGGGAAGACCAUCUGAUCCAGAGGCAGGAAGAUAAGUAAAAUGACUUCUUAGAGCCCCUUCCUGCUUUCCCAGCUCCCCUCCCCCAUCUCAAGCAUCUGAUCCCAGACCUAUUUCAGAAUCUCCUAUCUCUUUGCUCAGUGGAAGCAGUGAUAUGACAUGAUGUGAUCUCAUUUGAGGGCUAAAUAAAGCCAUUGUGUGAGACCCA